rnacentral:pre_miRNA from 1 species
AUUAUACUCCCUCCGUUCCGAAUUACUUGUCGCACGUAUGGAUGUAUCUAGAUGUAUUUUAGUUCUAGAUACAUCCAUUUCAGCGACGAGUAAUUUGGGACGGAGGGAGUACGAC